CAUUGGGGAGAGGAGAGGAGAAGAAAGAAAGGAAAAAGAAGAAGAAGAAGAGAAGAAGAGGAGAAGAGGAGAAGAAGGAAGGAAGGCUGAAAUUUUUGGGUUGAAUAGGCUGCUGCUACUGCAUGCUACUGAUCCCUUCUACUGCUGCCUACCCAAUUCUGCUACAUGCUUGCUUUUGGACCUACUGCUGUUCUUGUAGCUGAACAGAUCAAGUCUUUGUGCAAAACUAUGCAAACAAGCUGAAAAAGGAGUUGUGCAUGUGGCUUCUGUACGUGGCUGCUGUACCUACUGCUGUACCUGCAAAAUUAAGGCAAAAUUUCCAUAACAGUUCGACGGUUACUGCCAAACAAAGCUAUGUGGUAAUGGAUGUAACAUUGACAGUCUAAGGCACGGUGGGGCCAAGGUUCUUUCCAGUACGGUGGGCGCAAAGAUGGUGGAACCAGUGCUGAGGUAGGAUUGGAUUUCAGCGGCGGUUGUGGGGUUGUGUCUACGUGACAUCGGGAUGUUGAUGGACUUCACUUCUAUUAUUCAGAUAUUCCUUUUAUGUAUAUAUUUAUGAGAUGUGUAUUAAGUAAAAUUGUGACUUGUGGUUGUAUUUAGACAUUGAAUUUAUAUAAUGUAAUUUAUCACUUUAGUA